CCUACGGGUGGCAGCAGUCGAGAAUCAUUCACAAUGGGGGAAACCCUGAUGGUGCGACGCCGCGUGGGGGAAUGAAGGUCUUCGGAUUGUAAACCCCUGUCAUGUGGGAGCAAAUUAAAAAGAUAGUACCACAAGAGGAAGAGACGGCUAACUCUGUGCCAGCAGCCGCGGUAAUACAGAGGUCUCAAGCGUUGUUCGGAAUCACUGGGCGUAAAGCGUGCGUAGGCUGUUUCGUAAGUCGUGUGUGAAAGGUGCGGGCUCAACCCGCGGACGGCACAUGAUACUGCGAGACUAGAGUAAUGGAGGGGGAACCGGAAUUCUCGGUGUAGCAGUGAAAUGCGUAGAUAUCGAGAGGAACACUCGUGGCGAAGGCGGGUGCCUGGACAUUAACUGACGCUGAGGCACGAAGGCCAGGGGAGCGAAAGGGAUUAGAUACCCCUGUAGUC
rnacentral:rRNA from 1 species